rnacentral:rRNA from 1 species
AGCGAACGCUGGCGGCGUGCUUAACACAUGCAAGUCGAACGAAGUAGCAAUACUUAGUGGCGGACGGGUGAGUAAUGCAUAGAUAAUCUACCUUAGGGACCGGGAUAACUUUGGGAAACUGGAGGUAAUACCGGAUAAGACCACAGUGUCUGCGGACACAGGGGUAAAAGAUGGCUUUUGGCUAUCACCUAAAGAUGGGUCUAUGUUCCACCAGGUAGUUGGUGAGGUAACGGCUCACCAAGCCUAAGACGGAUAGCCGGCCUCAGCGGGUGGUCGGCCACACGGGAACUGAGAUACGGUCCCGACUCCUACGGGAGGCAGCAGUGGGGAAGUCUUGGGCAAUGGGCGAAAGCCUGACCCAGCGACGCCGCGUGAGGGAUUAAGGCCUC